CCAUAAUGUGUUUAGGGUAGACCCACACCAUAAUGUGUUUAGGGUAGACCCACACCAUAAUGUGUUUAGGGUAGACCCAUACCAUAAUGUGUUAGGGUAGACCCAUACCAUAAUGUGUUUAGGGUAGACCCAUACCAUAAUGUGUUAGGGUAGACCCAUACCAUAAUGUGUUUAGGGUAGACCCAUACCAUAAUGUGUUAGGGUAGACCCAUACCAUAAUGUGUUUAGGGUAGACCCACACCAUAAUGUGUUAGGGUAGACCCAUACCAUAAUGUGUUUAGGGUAGACCCAUACCAUAAUGUGUUAGGGUAGACCCACACCAUAAUGUGUUAGGGGUAGACCCACACCAUAAUGUGUUAGGGUAGACCCACACCAUAAUGUGUUUAGGUAGACCCAUACCAUAAUGUGUUUAGGGUAGACCCAUACCAUAAUGUGUUUAGGGUAGACCCAUACCAUAAUGUGUUUAGGGUAGACCCAUACCAUAAUGUGUUAGGGUAGACCCAUACCAUAAUGUGUUUAGGGUAGACCCACACCAUAAUGUGUUAGGGUAGACCCAUACCAUAAUGUGUUUAGGGUAGACCCACACCAUAAUGUGUUUAGGGUAGACCCAUACCAUAAUGUGUUAGGGUAGACCCAUACCAUAAUGUGUUAGGGUAGACCCAUAC